rnacentral:rRNA from 1 species
UACGUAGGGGGCAAGCGUUGUCCGGAAUCAUUGGCGUAAAGCGCGUGUAGGCGGCCCGGUAAGUCCGCUGUGAAAGUCGGGGGCUCAACCCUCGAAUGCCGGUGGAUACUGUCGGGCUAGAGUGGCGGGAGAGGCGAGUGGAACUGCGAGUGUAGAGGUGAAAUUCGUAGAUAUUCGCAAGAACACCAGUGGCGAAGGCGGCUCACUGGCCCGGUACUGACGCUGAGGUGCGAAAGCGUGGGGAGCAACAGG